rnacentral:rRNA from 1 species
GUAGGGAAUAUUGGACAAUGGGCGAAAGCCUGAUCCAGCCAUGCCGCGUGUGUGAAGAAGGUCUUCGGAUUGUAAAGCACUUUAAGUUGGGAGGAAGGGCAGUAAGUUAAUACCUUGCUGUUUUGACGUUACCAACAGAAUAAGCACCGGCUAACUUCGUGCCAGCAGCCGCGGUAAUACGAAGGGUGCAAGCGUUAAUCGGAAUUACUGGGCGUAAAGCGCGCGUAGGUGGUUCAGCAAGUUGAAGGUGAAAUCCCCGGGCUCAACCUGGGAACUACUUGCAAAACUGCAUGACUAGAGUACGGUAGAGGGUAGUGGAAUUUCCUGUGUAGCGGUGAAAUGCGUAGAUAUAGGAAGGAACACCAGUGGCGAAGGCGACUACCUGGACUGAUACUGACACUGAGGUGCGAAAGCGUGGGGAGCAAACAGGAUUAGAAACCCUUGUAGUCC